UUUAUUGACAUAUUAUAAAAUAUGAAGAGAUUAUAGACAUAACUGAAAUGUAACCUAUUUGAAUUUCUAGAACAUUGCAAAAUCUUAAAUAAAUGUCUAUGUUCACAUUUGAAUCUUAAAGUGUUAAACUUACUUACCUUCAGGGAACCUCUAAGAGCUGAAAUCUGUCUAAAUAUAUGAUUUUCACACAUAACACCAUCUUGAAAACAUCUGGACUUCACACAAACCACAGGAUAACCAACAAUCCUUGAAGACCUAAAAGAACCACAUUUCUAUCAGGACUUUUGUGGGAAGGUCAGGCGAACAUUCUCUCUGAAGAUUCAACAACCUGCUUUUCUCCAGAGACAAUCUUGUGGAGAAUUUGAUGCCUUUCUAGUAAAGCUAACAAAAAACAAAACAAAAUAAAACAGUCUCCAACAUACUAAACAGCUGUCUCCAAGAUCAGAAGGCAUCAGAAAAGACCCUCAAGAGUUACCUAAUCCCAGAGGAAGAUCUUGUUUAAGUGGAGAAGUGCUUGCAGAAGAAACCUUGGAAAUUUCAGGGAGUAGAAUUUUAUUGUCAGAACUUUCAAUAAAAGUGUAGCCACAGAUCCUGGGAGCAUUAAAUAAAAAUUACCAACAAGCUGUCUUACCUGUGUGCACUCCACUGAAAGGAAGGGCAAACAUGAGCAAGUAGUGCUUGUACAUCAGUCAAAAUUCUGACAGCUACCCUGUGAAGUUUGACGAGCUGCCAUGUGCUAGACUACCUAAGAUACUCUUAACUGAACCAUAAAAAGACAAAUAAAUUAGUAAUUGUA